rnacentral:rRNA from 1 species
GACGAACGCUGGCGGCGUGCUUAACACAUGCAAGUCGAACGGAAAGGCCCUGCUUUUGUGGGGUGCUCGAGUGGCGAACGGGUGAGUAACACGUGAGUAACCUGCCCUUGACUUUGGGAUAACUUCAGGAAACUGGGGCUAAUACCGGAUAGGAGCUCCUGCUGCAUGGUGGGGGUUGGAAAGUUUCGGCGGUUGGGGAUGGACUCGCGGCUUAUCAGCUUGUUGGUGGGGUAGUGGCUUACCAAGGCUUUGACGGGUAGCCGGCCUGAGAGGGUGACCGGCCACAUUGGGACUGAGAUACGGCCCAGACUCCUACGGGAGGCAGCAGUGGGGAAUAUUGCACAAUGGGCGGAAGCCUGAUGCAGCAACGCCGCGUGCGGGAUGACGGCCCUCGGGUUGUAAACCGCUUUCGCCUGUGACGAAGCGUGAGUGACGGUAAUGGGUAAAGAAGCACCGGCUAACUACGUGCCAGCAGCCGCGGUGAUACGUAGGGUGCGAGCGUUGUCCGGAUUUAUUGGGCGUAAAGGGCUCGUAGGUGGUUGAUCGCGUCGGAAGUGUAAUCUUGGGGCUUAACCCUGAGCGUGCUUUCGAUACGGGUUGACUUGAGGAAGGUAGGGGAGAAUGGAAUUCCUGGUGGAGCGGUGGAAUGCGCAGAUAUCAGGAGGAACACCAGUGGCGAAGGCGGUUCUCUGGGCCUUUCCUGACGCUGAGGAGCGAAAGCGUGGGGAGCGAACAGGCUUAGAUACCCUGGUAGUCCACGCUGUAAACGGUGGGUACUAGGUGUGGGGUCCAUUCCACGGGUUCCGUGCCGUAGCUAACGCUUUAAGUACCCCGCCUGGGGAGUACGGCCGCAAGGCUAAAACUCAAAGGAAUUGACGGGGCCCCGCACAAGCGGCGGAGCAUGCGGAUUAAUUCGAUGCAACGCGUAGAACCUUACCUGGGUUUGACAUGGAUCGGGAGUGCUCAGAGAUGGGUGUGCCUCUUUUGGGGUCGGUUCACAGGUGGUGCAUGCCUGUCGUCAGCUCGUGUCGUGAGAUGUUGGGUUAAGUCCCGCAACGAGCGCAACCCUUGUUCACUGUUGCCAGCACGUUAUGGUGGGGACUCAGUGGAGACCGCCGGGGUCAACUCGGAGGAAGGUGGGGAUGACGUCAAGUCCUCAUGCCCCUUAUGUCCAGGGCUUCACGCAUGCUACAAUGGCUGGUACAGAGAGUGGCGAGCCUGUGAGGGUGAGCGAAUCUCGGAAAGCCGGUCUCAGUUCGGAUUGGGGUCUGCAACUCGACCUCAUGAAGUCGGAGUCGCUAGUAAUCGCAGAUCAGCAACGCUGCGGUGAAUACGUUCCCGGGGCU